rnacentral:lncRNA from 1 species
UUAGAUGAGAUAUGAGGAAUCCUACUUGCAUUAAAAUUUCCUCCUCCUUGGACCGACCAACACCUAGAAUGGUGCCAGUUGUGGGCAUCCCAUAUGGGUGUGGGAAUGAGUGCAUUGUAGGUGCCUUGUGUGGUUCCAAUUCUAUCUCAUAUAGGAGUCCUUCUUUUAUGAGUAUUGGACUGAUUCAAAGUAUGUUAGAAUUAGGAGUCCUAUACUUGUUGAGUCAUGAAAAUCAUCUAUAAAUAGAAAGGGUCUUUACCUAUGCAUGCAUAACAAAUAAAUCAGAUUGAGAGAAGAGAGAAAGAGAGAGAGGUGUGAGAAGUGGGCGCACCUACUCCCUUGACGUCUCCCCUUGCGUGCCGCCCUCUUCCUCCUUGCUGUGGGCCCUCCUUUGGGCAUCUCCCUUGCUGGUGUGAGGCAUCACACCAGCACCUCUCCUCUCUCAUUUGGUUGGGUUGCAAAGUUGAUUUGAUCAGAGUUCAUCCCGCUUUCCUGCGUUGUCUAGCGUGCAUGCGAAGUAGAGGAUUUGCACUUCCAAGCCUUCACGAAGGUUAAUUUUAGAUUUUUAAAGAUUUGAUCUCUAUUUCUGCUGCUAUUCAGGUAAGUAUUUGAUCCUUAUUCAUGUAAAUUAAUAGAAUAUUUUUAGAUACGAUCUGGGCUAUCCGAAGAGAAAUAGUUUCUCUUCCCUUCAAUUGGCAUCAGAGUAGGCCUUUAAUUCAUGCAUGCAUGCAUAACUAAAUUUUUUUGGAUUAUUUACAUAUUGUAUAUAACUAAAAUUUUAUAUUAGAUAUUAAAUCUAAUUUAAAUCUAUUUAUAUAAAAUUUUUGAUAUGAUUUUGAUUGGAUUAGAUGAGCCUAAUCAAUUGUUGAUUAAG